GAUCAUUUCCAUGUCUUUGUUGGUGAUCUCAGCCCAGAAAUUACAACUGAAGAUAUAAAAGCUGCUUUUGCACCAUUUGGAAGAAUAUCAGAUGCCCGAGUGGUAAAAGACAUGGCAACAGGAAAGUCUAAGGGAUAUGGCUUUGUCUCCUUUUUCAACAAAUGGGAUGCUGAAAACGCCAUUCAACAGAUGGGUGGCCAGUGGCUUGGUGGAAGACAAAUCAGAACUAACUGGGCAACCCGAAAGCCUCCCGCUCCAAAGAGUACAUAUGAGUCAAAUACCAAACAGCUGUCAUAUGAUGAGGUUGUCAAUCAGUCUAGUCCAAGCAACUGUACUGUAUACUGUGGAGGUGUUACUUCUGGGCUAACAGAACAACUAAUGCGUCAGACUUUUUCACCAUUUGGACAAAUAAUGGAAAUUCGAGUCUUUCCAGAUAAAGGAUAUUCAUUUGUUCGGUAGGGAUGGUUUUUUAAAAAAACUUUUUUCUUGGUAAUGUAACUGGAAAACCAG
rnacentral:sRNA from 1 species